UCCGGUUUGUCACCGGCGGUCUCCUUAGAGUUCCCGACAUUACUCGCUGGCAACUAAGGACAAGGGUUGCGCUCGUUGCGGGACUUAACCCAACAUCUCACGACACGAGCUGACGACAGCCAUGCAGCACCUGUCUCACGGUUCCCGAAGGCACCCCUCGAUCUCUCAAGGGUUCCGUGGAUGUCAAGGCCAGGUAAGGUUCUGCGCGUUGCAUCGAAUUAAACCACAUACUCCACCGCUUGUGCGGGCCCCCGUCAAUUCCUUUGAGUUUCAGUCUUGCGACCGUACUCCCCAGGCGGCGAACUUAACGCGUUAGCUUCGAUACUGAGUGCCAAGUUGCACCCAACAUCCAGUUCGCAUCGUUUAGGGCGUGGACUAC
rnacentral:misc_RNA from 1 species